AGAGUUUGAUCCUGGCUUAGGAUGAACGCUAGCUACAGGCUUAACACAUGCAAGUCGAGGGGCAGCAUGAAACUUAGCUUGCUAAGUUUGAUGGCGACCGGCGCACGGGUGAGUAACACGUAUCCAACCUACCGUUUACUACGGGAUAGCCUUCUGAAAAGGAGAUUAAUACCGUAUGGUAUUCUAAAGUUUCAUGACAUUAGAAUUAAAGGUUUACCGGUAAUCGAUGGGGAUGCGUUCCAUUAGAUAGUAGGCGGGUAACGGCCCACCUAGUCAGCGAUGGAUAGGGGUUCUGAGAGGAAGGUCCCCCACAUUGGAACUGAGACACGGUCCAAACUCCUACGGGAGGCAGCAGUGAGGAAUAUUGGUCAAUGGGCGAGAGCCUGAACCAGCCAAAAGUAGCGUGAAGGAUGACUGCCCUAUGGGUUGUAAACUUCUUUUAUAAAGGAAUAAAGUGGUCCACGUGUGGAUUUUUGUAUGUACUUUAUGAAUAAGGAUCGGCUAACUCCGUGCCAGCCGCCGC
rnacentral:rRNA from 1 species